rnacentral:rRNA from 1 species
UACAGAGGUGGCAAGCGUUGUUCGGAAUUACUGGGCGUAAAGGGCGCGUAGGCGGCCAUCUAAGUCAGACGUGAAAUCCCCAGGCUUAACCUGGGAACUGCGUCUGAUACUGGACGGCUCGAGUUUGGGAGAGGGAUGCAGAAUUCCAGGUGUAGCGGUGAAAUGCGUAGAUAUCUGGAGGAACACCGGUGGCGAAGGCGGCAUCCUGGACCGACACUGACGCUGAGGAGCGAAAGCCAGGGGAGCAAACGGG